GUGAGGAAUAUUGGUCAAUGGGCGAGAGCCUGAACCAGCCAAGUCGCGUGAAGGAAGAAGGAUCUAUGGUUCGUAGACUUCUUUUGCAGGGGAAUAAAGUGCGGGAGGUGUCCUGUUUUGUAUGUACCCUGAGAAUAAGGAUCGGCUAACUCCGUGCCAGCAGCCGCGGUAAUACGGAGGAUCCGAGCGUUAUCCGGAUUUAUUGGGUUUAAAGGGUGCGUAGGUGGUUUGAUAAGUCAGCGGUGAAAGUUUGCAGCUUAACUGUAAAAAUGCCGUUGAAACUGUCGGACUUGAGUGUAAAUGAGGUAGGCGGAAUGCGUGGUGUAGCGGUGAAAUGCAUAGAUAUCACGCAGAACUCCGAUUGCGAAGGCAGCUUACUAAGCUACAACUGACACUGAAGCACGAAAGCGUGGGGAUCAAACAGGAUUAGAUACCCCGGUAGUCC
rnacentral:rRNA from 1 species